CCCUUAGAUGUUCUGGGCCGCACGCGCGCUACACUGGUCAAUUCAACAAGUUUGUCCUUGACCGAGAGGUCUGGGAAAUCUUUGAAAAUUGAUCGUGAUGGGGAUCGGGCACUGCAACUGCGCCCGUAAACGAGGAAUGCCUAGUAAGCGUGAAUCAUCAGUUCGCGUUGAUUACGUCCCUGCCCUUUGUACACACCGCCCGUCGCUCCUACCGAUCGAACGAUCCGGUGAAGUUUUCGGACUGUCGCUGCCCGGUGGCAACACUGAGCGGUGGUGGGAAGUAACCUAAACCGGUUUGUUUAGAGGAAGGAGAANUCGUAACA
rnacentral:rRNA from 1 species